GAGUUACUGAGCUAUUACAUGUAAGAACUACUCCCCAACACCGCUUCACUGCUAUGAGGAUGACAACACAUCAAAACGGAAUAUACUUCCCAGUAAUGUGGCAUGUAGUUCUGCCUGCUUCUAGUGAAGUUAUUUUCUCAUGAAAUAAAACAGAAGUGAAGAUCAGGAAUGUAAGAGUCUAACAGGACAGUUUCCCAGGAAGGGGUUAAGAUUAAGAGACUCCUCCUCCUACUAGUAUGUAAUGAACUCUUAGCUAAUGCAUUUCAGACAUACUCGUAUCUCAUUCUUAAUAACGUAUCUCUAAGUCAUAAGGACCCAGAGGAAGCAGUGGGAACCAGCCAGAAACACGAUCCACCACCAUCAUGAUUUCCAAUGCCGUAAAAUCCAUGUUGAAGGAAGUAGAUUCUAACGGUACCCUGAUCCCUGUGUCCAGUCUGAACGACAGCUCUGGUAAACUGAAUCUCCUCUCACUCAUUGUGAAGACCAGGCCCAGAUGUGGAUGCUUCUGGCAGGAACCGAAAUACCAGUCCAGAGGCUUUUCCCUGAGUGAUGUGCUGAAGCCUGGAAAACCUGAAGACAAACCUUUAAACCCAGGUGCCGGAGAGCUGUGACUGCACCAAGGGUAACGUGUGUGUUGUCUCUUCGUGUGCAGCAAGGUGCCGGAGAGCUGUGACUGCACCAAGGGUAACGUGUGUGUUGUCUCUUCGUGUGCAGGGCAAAUAAAAAGAUUUCAACGAGCAGACCAUCAGUUGUGGCAGCGUCUUCAUUAAGAAUUACACA